rnacentral:rRNA from 1 species
GUAGGGGGCAAGCGUUAUCCGGAUUUACUGGGUGUAAAGGGAGCGUAGGCGGACUUUAAAGUCUGAUGUGAAAGCCCGGGGCUCAACCCCGGAAGUGCAUUGGAAACUUAGAGUCUUGAGUUCGGGAGAGGAAGGCAGAAUUCCCGGUGUAGGGGUGAAAUCCGUAGAGAUCGGGAGGAAAACCAGUGGCGAAGGCGGCCUUCUGGAACGAAACUGACGCUGAGGCUCGAAAGCGUGGGGAGCAAACAGGAUUAGAGACCCUGGUAGUCCACGCUGUAAACGAUGGGUGCUACGUGUAGGGGUUAUUAACAAUCUCUGUGCCGAAGCUAACGCGAUAAGCACCCCGCCUGGGGAGUACGGUCGCAAGGCUG